rnacentral:rRNA from 1 species
AGAUGGCGACCGGCGCACGGGUGAGUAACACGUAUCCAACCUGCCGAUAACUCGGGGAUAGCCUUUCGAAAGAAAGAUUAAUACCCGAUGGCAUAAUAGAACCGCAUGGUUUGAUUAUUAAAGAAUUUCGGUUAUCGAUGGGGAUGCGUUCCAUUAGGCAGUUGGUAGGGUAACGGCCCACCAAACCUUCGAUGGAUAGGGGUUCUGAGAGGAAGGUCCCCCACAUUGGAACUGAGACACGGUCCAA